rnacentral:lncRNA from 1 species
UUCUUUGAUUCAGUUCAUCCUACAGACAGGGCCUACCAGCAGAUAGCUGAGCUAAUUUGGAGUGGAACUCGCAACAUUACAGGACCCUACAAUUUGAAAGCACUAUUUGUUUGAUUGAGCUUAUAUGUUCAAAUGCCUAAUAAAUGAGUUCAACAUGUGCAUAAUAAAUGAGUUCAACAUGUGCAUAAUGAAUGAGCUCAACAUGUCAAGUGCUGUACUAUUCUAUUUUACGACUCAGAAAAUUACUUUUGCCAAUAAAAAUUGAAGUCUUAAUGUAAAGAGAACUUCACGGCUGAACAAAACCCUACCUAUGGUUUUCAAAGCCAUCAUCAGAUAUAAAGUUCAAGAGGAAUGGUCUUGGUAAACAUCUUAUUCCCCAAGUCCCAUUACAAUUUUCAGUAUGAAAUGCAGGAAUUUUUUAAUAUUAGUCCAUAUCAGUAGUUGAAUGGUAAUAAGAUGUUGACCAUUUGAUAUCAUACUAAUCAAAAUCUUUAUCACAUGGCUGUAUAUAAAAGUUGGAACAAAGAGAAAGAUUACAG